AAUGGGGGAAACCCUGAUGCAGCGACGCCGCGUGAGCGAAGAAGGCCUUCGGGUCGUAAAGCUCUGUCCUAAGGGAAGAAACGGACGGUACCUUAGGAGGAAGCCCCGGCUAACUACGUGCCAGCAGCCGCGGUAAUACGUAGGGGGCGAGCGUUAUCCGGAAUUAUUGGGCGUAAAGGGUGCGUAGGCGGCCUUUUAAGUCAGAUGUGAAAGGCUACGGCUUAACCGUAGUUAGCAUUUGAAACUAAAAGGCUUGAGUGCAGGAGAGGAGAGUGGAAUUCCUAGUGUAGCGGUGAAAUGCGUAGAUAUUAGGAGGAACACCAGUGGCGAAGGCGACUCUCUGGACUGCAACUGACGCUGAGGCACGAAAGCGUGGGGAGCGAA
rnacentral:rRNA from 1 species